UCCGGCUUAUCACCGGCAGUCCCCUUAGAGUGCCCAACUGAAUGGUGGCAACUAAGGGCGAGGGUUGCGCUCGUUGCGGGACUUAACCCAACAUCUCACGACACGAGCUGACGACAGCCAUGCAGCACCUGUGUUCCCGCCAGCCGAACUGAAGGAAUCCAUCUCUGGAAACCGCGACCGGGAUGUCAAGGGCUGGUAAGGUUCUGCGCGUUGCUUCGAAUUAAACCACAUGCACCACCGCUUGUGCGGGCCCCCGUCAAUUCCUUUGAGUUUCAGCCUUGCGGCCGUACUCCCCAGGCGGGGAACUUAAUGCGUUAGCUUCGGCACGGACGGAGUCGACACCGCCCACACCUAGUUCCCAUCGUUUACGGCGUGGACUAC
rnacentral:misc_RNA from 1 species